rnacentral:rRNA from 1 species
UACGUAGGGUGCGAGCGCUGUCCGGAAUUAUUGGGCGUAAAGAGCUUGUAGGCGGUUUGUCGCGUCUGCUGUGAAAAUCCGGGGCUCAACCCCGGACUUGCAGUGGGUACGGGCAGACUAGAGUGUGGUAGGGGAGACUGGAAUUCCUGGUGUAGCGGUGAAAUGCGCAGAUAUCAGGAGGAACACCGAUGGCGAAGGCAGGUCUCUGGGCCACUACUGACGCUGAGACACGAAAGCGUGGGUAGCAAACAGG